GAUGAACGCUGGCGGCGUGCCUAAUACAUGCAAGUCGAGCGAACGGACGAGAAGCUUGCUUCUCUGAUGUUAGCGGCGGACGGGUGAGUAACACGUGGAUAACCUACCUAUAAGACUGGGAUAACUUCGGGAAACCGGAGCUAAUACCGGAUAAUAUUUUGAACCGCAUGGUUCAAAAGUGGAAGACGGUCUUGCUGUCACUUAUAGAUGGAUCCGCGCUGCAUUAGCUAGUUGGUAAGGUAACGGCUUACCAAGGCAACGAUGCAUAGCCGACCUGAGAGGGUGAUCGGCCACACUGGAACUGAGACACGGUCCAGACUCCUACGGGAGGCAGCAGUAGGGAAUCUUCCGCAAUGGGCGAAAGCCUGACGGAGCAACGCCGCGUGAGUGAUGAAGGUCUUCGGAUCGUAAAACUCUGUUAUUAGGGAAGAACAUAUGUGUAAGUAACUGUGCACAUCUUGACGGUACCUAAUCAGAAAGCCACGGCUAACUACGUGCCAGCAGCCGCGGUAAUACGUAGGUGGCAAGCGUUAUCCGGAAUUAUUGGGCGUAAAGCGCGCGUAGGCGGUUUUUUAAGUCUGAUGUGAAAGCCCACGGCUCAACCGUGGAGGGUCAUUGGAAACUGGAAAACUUGAGUGCAGAAGAGGAAAGUGGAAUUCCAUGUGUAGCGGUGAAAUGCGCAGAGGUAUGGAGGAACACCAGUGGCGAAGGCGACUUUCUGGUCUGUAACUGACGCUGAUGUGCGAAAGCGUGGGGAUCAAACAGGAUUAGAUACCCUGGUAGUCCACGCCGUAAACGAUGAGUGCUAAGUGUUAGGGGGUUUCCGCCCCUUAGUGCUGCAGCUAACGCAUUAAGCACUCCGCCUGGGGAGUACGACCGCAAGGUUGAAACUCAAAGGAAUUGACGGGGACCCGCACAAGCGGUGGAGCAUGUGGUUUAAUUCGAAGCAACGCGAAGAACCUUACCAAAUCUUGACAUCCUUUGACAACUCUAGAGAUAGAGCCUUCCCCUUCGGGGGACAAAGUGACAGGUGGUGCAUGGUUGUCGUCAGCUCGUGUCGUGAGAUGUUGGGUUAAGUCCCGCAACGAGCGCAACCCUUAAGCUUAGUUGCCAUCAUUAAGUUGGGCACUCUAAGUUGACUGCCGGUGACAAACCGGAGGAAGGUGGGGAUGACGUCAAAUCAUCAUGCCCCUUAUGAUUUGGGCUACACACGUGCUACAAUGGACAAUACAAAGGGCAGCGAAACCGCGAGGUCAAGCAAAUCCCAUAAAGUUGUUCUCAGUUCGGAUUGUAGUCUGCAACUCGACUACAUGAAGCUGGAAUCGCUAGUAAUCGUAGAUCAGCAUGCUACGGUGAAUACGUUCCCGGGUCU
rnacentral:rRNA from 1 species